UUAUAAGAGACAGCAGCAGCCGCGGGAAUACGGAGGGUGCAAGCGUUAUCCGGAUUUAUUGGGUUUAAAGGGUCCGUAGGCGGACUUAUAAGUCAGUGGUGAAAGCCUGUCGCUUAACGAUAGAACUGCCAUUGAUACUGUAAGUCUUGAGUAUAUUUGAGGUAGCUGGAAUAAGUAGUGUAGCGGUGAAAUGCAUAGAUAUUACUUAGAACACCAAUUGCGAAGGCAGGUUACCAAGAUAUAACUGACGCUGAGGGACGAAAGCGUGGGUAGCGAACAGGAUUAGAUACCCCUGUAGUCCCUGUCUCUUAUAC
rnacentral:rRNA from 1 species